AAGUCACGGGGGCCCGCAAGGGCAACCGGCGAACGGGUGCGUAACACGUGAGCAACCUGCCCGCUUGUGGGGGAUAGCCGGCCCAACGGCCGGGUAAUACCGCAUACGUUCUUUUCGGGGCAUCCCGAGGAGAGGAAAGCAGCGAUGCGCAAGCGGAGGGGCUCGCGGCCUAUCAGCUCGUUGGCGGGGUAACGGCCCACCAAGGCGACGACGGGUAGCUGGUCUGAGAGGAUGGCCAGCCACAUUGGGACUGAGAGACGGCCCAGACUCCUACGGGAGGCAGCAGUGGGGAAUCUUGCGCAAUGGCCGAAAGGCUGACGCAGCGACGCCGCGUGUGGGAGGACGCCCUUCGGGGUGUAAACCACUGUUGCCCGGGACGAACCCCUGGAUUCAUCCAGGUUGACGGUACCGGGUGAGGAAGCACCGGCUAACUCCGUGCCAGCAGCCGCGGUAAUACGGAGGGUGCGAGCGUUGUCCGGAAUCACUGGGCGUAAAGGGCGCGUAGGCGGUCGCUUAAGCGUGCGGUGAAAGCUCGGGGCUCAACCCCGAGUCGGCCGUGCGAACUGGGGGACUCGAGCCCACUAGAGGCAGGCGGAAUUCCGGGUGUAGCGGUGGAAUGCGUAGAGAUCCGGAAGAACACCGGUGGCGAAGGCGGCUGCU
rnacentral:rRNA from 1 species